CUUUGUGGCCAAAUUGGGUGACGGAAAGUGCGGUUUCUUGGGGGUAAGGGCCCCCAGAAAAGCUGGAGAAACAACAUCAGGGUGAGAGCAAGGGCCCUCACCGUUAUGGACAUUGAAUCUCAUGUCCGAGCCGGGCUUCCCCGUGGUGAAGUGACCGAGAGAUGCGAAGAUCAGGACGAGGGUAAGGGCCCCCGCCGUUAUGGACCUUGCUCUCUUUUGCCGGUGUGUGCUUCACCGUGGGCGAAGUGUGGCCGUGUGGACACCACUUUCCGCCAUUGAUCGAAACAAAGUGUAGAUCCCCCACGAGAAGCAUGUUGGUCGGGAAAAAUUAUAAAUAGUUAAUAUGAAGUAUUUAUAGUAUGGUAUAGAUGUAUGUUUUAUAGUAUGUAAUGAUGGCGUGCUGUGCAAAAGAUAUAUAGUGUCCACGAGAUACUAACACUUAUGGUACAGCUGGAUAAUCAGGGAGGCCAGGAAAAAACCCUGCAGUACAGGAAAACCUGGGUAGGGCCAAGACCACCAGCAGCUCCCCACAUAGCUUUAUCUUUACAAAAUUAAGAAAUGGCAGUAUCGCGCUAGACACCACAAUUAAAGCUAUUCUGUUAACGCAUGCGUUAUUUGUUUUAUUGUUUUUCGUUGUUUUCUUUUUCUUUUCUUUUUUUUUUUGCUAUGAAACUACGCUUUUGAGCAUAAAUAAGGGAACUAAACGAUCAGAAUUAAUUUGUCGCAAUCCAAAGCAGAACGCCACCGCACAGUAGAGAAUACAUAUAUAGUUCAGGUAAUAAAAUGUAGAUUAUGUCAUAAAUAGUUCAUAUAUACGUAGAGACUUCAUAGCCAUUAGGACGUAGGAGUGAUCCGGAUAGGUGAUGGAAGGCGGAAACCAAGAUGGCACAAAUGCUGAGAUCUUCUUCAUGUCCUUCCUUCGUUUGUAACAGAAUGACUAAAAGAGAGACGGAGAAAAGCAAAAAACUGCUCUGUGUAAUCAUGAGCUGCCCGAUAAUAGUGGUUUCAAUGCGCGAUGAAUAAAUUUGUAGUAGAAUGCGAGUGCUCUACUACCCCUUAAUUUGGCUUUGUCUCGGUGUGUGAUACACUGUAGUGAACUGUGAAGUAUGUUUAGUUCGAAUUGCAUGUGGGGUGUAUACGCGAUGGCAUAAAAUAGGAAAUAACCUCUGACGCUAUGCAAAUGCAAGUGAUCAUGUCAUGCUGUAGUAUUUCAAUUAUUAUAGCGCUUGUGGUAUAAAAUGCGAAGAUCGCUGUUGACAUAUUUUGUGAGACUGGGGUUUUUGUACAGGAGAAUAUAUAUGUUGUAUUUUACAGUUAUAUGACGUCAUGACGUGCAAG
rnacentral:lncRNA from 1 species